rnacentral:tRNA from 1 species
UUAAAAAUAGUUUAAAUUAAAAUAUUAAUUUUGGAGAUUAAUGAUAUAUCAUAUAUUUUUUUAGC